UACGGAGGGUGCAAACGUUGCUCGGAAUCAUUGGGCGUAAAGCGCACGUAGGCGGUCCAGCAAGUCGGGUGUGAAAGCCCUCGGCUUAACCGAGGAAGUGCAUUCGAAACUACUGGACUUGAAUACUGAAGAGGAUCGCGGAAUUCCCGGUGUAGAGGUGAAAUUCGUAGAUAUCGGGAGGAACACCAGUGGCGAAGGCGGCGAUCUGGGCAGAUAUUGACGCUGAUGUGCGAAAGCGUGGGGAGCAAACAGG
rnacentral:rRNA from 1 species